GGAAGGAUCAUUCCUAUGAUAAGAGCUUCGUGCUUUUAUUUUUCACCCGUUGCAUUAUUUUUAAUCGUAUACACUUUUUAAACCAAAGGAAUUCAAUCAAAUAGACUGAUUCAUAUCUUUUUCGGAAGAUGACUUAAAAUGAACAACUAUUGGCAACGGAUACCUCGGUUCUCACAACGAUGAAGAACGCAGCGAAACGCGAUAUUUAGUGCGAAUUGCAGAAUUCAGUGAAUCAUCGAAAUUUUGAACGCAAGUGGCGCUUUUGGGAUAUUCCUGGAAGCAUGCCUCUUUCAGUGUCGGUUUUUUCUCUAGUCAUUUAUGAUUAGUACAAUGAGUUUGUUUCUUAAUUUUGUUAGGAAUCACUUUAAAUACCAUGGUUGGUUCGAGUAUAUUUGUAUGAGAGUCCAAGUUCGUAUUGCAACUGUCUAGGUGAUUCUGUUUUUCAGACUGCCUUUCGUUGUGAUGCCUCGUGUAACUUUUGACUUUCAGAAGAGUGUAUUCAUUGUGAAACAGCCAGAGUGCUUGCAAAUUCCGUAAAAAGAACUCGUAAAGCAAACCCUAUUACCAAGACCUGAGUGAGGUAAGAUUACCCGCCGAACUUAAGCAUAUUAAUAAGCGGAGGAAAAGAAACUAAAUAGGAUUCCCCUAGUAACGGCGAGUGAAAAGGGAAAAGCCCAUCCUGAGAAUCCCGCAGCAAUGUAGGAAUUGUAGGAUACGGAGACAAUCUCAGUAGUGGAUCUGGUUCAAGUGUGUUGGAAUACACCGGCAAAGAGGGUGACACCCCCGUACAGAGCUGGAAUCCCAUUGCGUACGAGAUGUUUUCCUAGAGUAGGUUUGCUUGAGAGUGCAGACUGAAUUGGGAGGUAAAUUCCUUCUAAGGCUAAAUAUAUGUGAGAGACCGAUAGCGCACAAGUACCGUGAGGGAAAGGUGAAAAGGACUUUGAAAAGAGAGUCAAAAGUACUUGAAAUUGUUCCAGUAGAUAAGCGAGAGAGACUAGUGCAGAAUUAUACCACCUCUCUUGUUUGUAAAAGUAAUUGUAUAACUUGACGUUGUCAUUUGAUACUAUGAAUUUAUGAGCAAGUUUGUGAGUGUAGUUUGUGUCAGUUGUGAUUUGAUUUGUAGGAAAAGUCUAAGACUGGGUAGUAUGGCUUUUGUCAUCUGAUGAGUUUUAGUUGUACUAUGAAUUGGAUUUGAAUUGACGAAAUAGUCUUUCUCGACCCGUCUUGAAACACGGACCAAGGAGUCUAACAUAUAGGCAAGUCAAUGAGUGGUAAACUCUACGGCGUAAUGAAAGUGAAGAACUUUUCGUUUGAGGUGUGCCACCUGUAUAUGGUUUCAACACCGCCCGGCAAUUCCAUUAGUGUAUUGUUCGAGGUAGAGCCUACAUGUUAGGACCCGAAAGAUGGUGAACUAUGCCUGAGCAGGGUGAAGCCAGGGGAAACUCUGGUGGAAGCUCGCAGCGAUACUGACGUGCAAAUCGUUCGUCGGACUUGGGUAUAGGGGCGAAAAGACUAAUCGAACCGUCUAGUAGCUGGUUCCCUC
rnacentral:misc_RNA from 1 species